rnacentral:rRNA from 1 species
CCUACGGGUGGCAGCAGUAGGGAAUAUUGCGCAAUGGGCGAAAGCCUGACGCAGCGACGCCGCGUGGGUGAUGAAGGCCUUCGGGUUGUAAAACCCUGUCCUUGGGGAAGAAGAAAGUGACGGUACCCAAGGAGGAAGCCCCGGCUAACUACGUGCCAGCAGCCGCGGUAAAACGUAGGGGGCGAGCGUUGUCCGGAAUUACUGGGCGUAAAGAGCUCGUAGGCGGCUUGGCAAGUCGGGUGUGAAAUCUCCGAGCUCAACUCGGAGGGGCCACUCGAUACUGCCAUGGCUAGAGUCCGGUAGGGGACCAUGGAAUUCCUGGUGUAGCGGUGAAAUGCGCAGAUAUCAGGAGGAACACCAGUGGCGAAGGCGGUGGUCUGGGCCGGUACUGACGCUGAGGAGCGAAAGCGUGGGGAGCGAACAGGAUUAGAUACCCCUGUAGUC